UACAGAGGGGGCAAGCGUUAUUCGGAAUUAUUGGGCGUAAAGGGCGCGUAGGCGGCCUGGCAAGUGGAAGGUGAAAUCCCUCGGCUUAACCGAGGAACUGCCCUCCAAACUGCUUGGCUUGAGACCGGGAGAGGUGAGUGGAAUUCCCAGUGCAGCGGUGAAAUGCGUAGAUAUUGGGAGGAACACCAGUGGCGAAGGCGGCUCACUGGACCGGUACUGACGCUGAGGCGCGAAAGCGUGGGGAGCAAACAGG
rnacentral:rRNA from 1 species